AAUUGCACUUGCUUAUUGCACCACAUGUGUUUUUCUUUGAAACAAACUUGCUUUGGCGGUGGGCCCAGCCUGCCGCCAGAGGUCUAAACUUACAACCAAUUUUUUAUCAACUUGUCACACCAGAUUAUUACUAAUAGUCAAAACUUUCAACAACGGAUCUCUUGGUUCUCGCAUCGAUGAAGAACGCAGCGAAAUGCGAUACGUAAUAUGAAUUGCAGAUAUUCGUGAAUCAUCGAAUCUUUGAACGCACAUUGCGCCCUCUGGUAUUCCGGAGGGCAUGCCUGUUUGAGCGUCGUUUCUCCCUCAAACCGCUGGGUUUGGUGUUGAGCAAUACGACUUGGGUUUGCUUGAAAGACGGUAGUGGUAAGGCGGGAUCGCUUUGACAAUGGCUUAGGUCUAACCAAAAACAUUGCUUGCGGCGGUAACGUCUACCACGUAUAUCUUCAAACUUUGACCUCAAAUCAGGUAGGACUACCCGCUGAACUUAAGCAUAUCAAAAGCCGGAGGAA
rnacentral:rRNA from 1 species